UUAGUGAAAUUUCAAAAUAUUGGUGAGU
rnacentral:sRNA from 1 species